GACGAACGCUGGCGGCGUGCUUAACACAUGCAAGUCGAACGGAAAGGCCCUGCUUUUGUGGGGGGCUCGAGUGGCGAACGGGUGGGUAAGACGCGAGUAACCUGCCCUUGACUUUGGUAUAACUUCAGGAAAGUGGGGCUAGUUACGACUAGGAACUCCUGCUGCAUUGCGGGGGGUGGAAGGGUUCGGCGGUUGGGGAUGGGCUCGCGGCUUAUCAGCUUGUUGGUGGGGUAGUGGCUUACCAAGGCUUUGACGGGUAGCCGGCCUGAGAGGGUGACCGGCCACGUUGGGACUGAGACGCGGCGCAGCAGCCUACGGGAGGGAGCAGUGGGGAAUAGUGCACUGUGGGGGGAAGCCGGAUGCAGCAACGCCGUGUGCGGGAUGACGGCCUUCGGGUUGUGAACCGCUUUUGCCUGUGACGAAGCGGGAUUGACGGUAAUGGGUAAAGAAGCACCGGCUAACUACGUG
rnacentral:rRNA from 1 species